rnacentral:rRNA from 1 species
GCUAAAAACCUAGCCUCCCACAGCCAAUGAACCCAACAACUUUAUUAUAUUAAUUAAAACAUUUUACAAAUUUAGUAAAGGCGAUUAAAAAAUUUUUAAGAGCAAUAAAAAUAGUACCGCAAGGGAAAGAUGAAAUAAAAAUGAAAUAAACUUUAAGCACAAAAUAGUAGAGAUUAACUCUUGUACCUUUUGCAUCACGGUUUAACAAGUCUAAUCAAGCACAACGACUUAUAGUUUGACCCCCCGAAACUAAGUGAGCUACUUUAGGGCAGCUUUCUGAGCAAACCCGUCUCUGUUGCAAAAGAGUGGGAAGACCCUCAAGUAGAGGUGACAGACCUAACGAACUUAGUGAUAGCUGGUUACUCAAGAAAAAGAUUUCAGUCCAGCCAAAAGCCUUCUUAAUAUAAUUAAAUUAUUUGUCAACUUUUGAGUAAUUCGAAUAAGGUACAGCUUAUUUGAAAAAGGAUACAACCUAAACUAAUGGGUAACAUUUUAUUUAAUAAUUAAGUAGGCCCAAAAGCAGCCACCUUUAAGAUAGCGUCAAAGCUUCACUACAACAUUUACCUAAUUUCUCAAAUUAAUUUUAACCCUUUAUUUAUAUUGAGUAAUUCUAUAUUAUUAUUGAACAUAUAAUGUUAAAACUAGUAACAAGAAGUAGUCCUUCUCUUUAAUGCAAGUAUAAGUCAGCAAGAACUAAUCACUGACAUUCAACAUAUAUUAAAUUAUAUUAGUAACUCCACAAGAAAACCCCAAUAAAUUUUAUGUUAACCUAACACAAGAGCAUUCCAAGAAAGAUUAAAAGAAAAAGAAGGAACUCGGCAAACAUUAACCUCGCCUGUUUACCAAAAACAUCGCCUCUUGACUUUUAAUAAGAGGUCCAGCCUGCCCAGUGACUCUGUUCAACGGCCGCGGUAUCCUAACCGUGCGAAGGUAGCGUAAUCACUUGUUCUUUAAAUGAGGACUUGUAUGAAUGGCACCACGAAAGUUACACUGUCUCCUUUUUCUAAUCAGUUAAACUAAUCUCCCCGUGAAGAAGCGAGGAUACAAAUAUAAGACGAGAAGACCCUAUGGAGCUUUAAACUAAUAUAACAAAUACUAACUCAACCCAAACUUUAAGAACAACAACCUUUAUUCCAGCAUUAUGAUUAUUAGUUUUAGGUUGGGGCGACCGCGGAGUAAAAAUUAACCUCCACAUUGAAUGGGGAUUAUCCCCUGAGCAAAAACCAACAACUUCAAGCACCAAUAGAUUGACAUCAAUUGACCCAAUAUUUUGAUCAACGAACCAAGUUACCCUAGGGAUAACAGCGCAAUCCAUUUCAAGAGUCCUUAUCGACAAAUGGGUUUACGACCUCGAUGUUGGAUCAGGGUAUCCCAGUGGUGCAGCCGCUACUAAAGGUUCGUUUGUUC